AACGUAUGAACGAACUGCUGCGGCAAAGCAUGCUCGACCUACAGAGAUAGAACAAGAACAAGAACAAGAACAUCCAUGCACUCUGCGUUGAAACC